UACGAAGGGUGCAAACGUUGCUCGGAAUCAUUGGGCGUAAAGCGCACGUAGGCGGCGCUGCAAGUCGGACGUGAAAUCCCUCGGCUCAACCGAGGACGUGCAUCCGAAACUGCAGUGCUCGAGUAUGGAAGAGGGUCGCGGAAUUCUCGGUGUAGAGGUGAAAUUCGUAGAUAUCGGGAGGAACACCAGUGGCGAAGGCGGGUCUCUGGACAGUUCCUGACGCUGAGGCACGAAGGUCAGGGGAGCAAACGGG
rnacentral:rRNA from 1 species